rnacentral:rRNA from 1 species
AGAUUGAACGCUGGCGGCAUGCCUUACACAUGCAAGUCGAACGGUAGAGUAGCAAUACUUGAGAGUGGCGAACGGGUGAGUAAUAUAUCGGAACGUGCCCAGUCGUGGGGGAUAACGUAGAGAAAUUUACGCUAAUACCGCAUACGAUCUAAGGAUGAAAGCGGGGGACCGUAAGGCCUCGCGCGAUUGGAGCGGCUGAUAUCAGAUUAGGUUGUUGGUGAGGUAAAAGCUCACCAAGCCGACGAUCUGUAGCUGGUUUGAGAGAACGACCAGCCACACUGGGACUGAGACACGGCCCAGACUCCUACGGGAGGCAGCAGUGGGAAUUUUGGACAAUGGGCGAAAGCCUGAUCCAGCAAUGCGCGUGCAGGAAGAAGGCCUUCGGUUGUAACUGCUUUUGUACGGAACGAACGGUCUGCUUUAAUACAGUGGCUAAUGACGGUACCGUAAGAAUAAGCACCGGCUAACGUACGUGCCAGCAGCCGACGGUAAUC